UACGAAGGUCCCAAGCGUUAUCCGGAUUUAUUGGGUUUAAAGGGUGCGUAGGCGGGCUAUUAAGUCAGUGGUGAAAGCUCUCAGCUUAACUGGGAAACUGCCAUUGAUACUGAUAGUCUUGAGUAUGAUUGAAGUGGGCGGAAUGUGUCAUGUAGCGGUGAAAUGCUUAGAUAUGACACAGAACACCGAUUGCGAAGGCAGCUCACUAAGCCAUAACUGACGCUGAUGCACGAAAGCGUGGGGAGCAAACAGGAUUAGAUACCCUGGUAGUCCACGCCCUAAACGAUGAUCACUCGAUGUGUGCGAUAAACUGUACGCGUCCAAGCGAAAGCAUUAAGUGAUCCACCUGGGGAGUACGACCGCAAGGUUG
rnacentral:rRNA from 1 species